GACGAACGCUGGCGUCGUGCUUAACACAUGCAAGUCGAACGGAAAGGCCCUGCUUUUGUGGGGUGCUCGAGUGGCGAACGGGUGAGUAACACGUGAGUAACCUGCCCUUGACUUUGGGAUAACUUCAGGAAACUGGGGCUAAUACCGGAUAGGAGCUCCUGCUGCAUGGUGGGGGUUGGAAAGUUUCGGCGGUUGGGGAUGGACUCGCGGCUUAUCAGCUUGUUGGUGGGGUAGUGGCUUACCAAGGCUUUGACGGGUAGCCGGCCUGAGAGGGUGACCGGCCACAUUGGGACUGAGAUACGGCCCAGACUCCUACGGGAGGCAGCAGUGGGGAAUAUUGCACAAUGGGCGGAAGCCUGAUGCAGCAACGCCGCGUGCGGGAUGACGGCCUUCGGGUUGUAAACCGCUUUCGCCUGUGACGAAGCGUGAGUGACGGUAAUGGGUAAAGAAGCACCGGCUAACUACGUG
rnacentral:rRNA from 1 species